rfam:Struthio camelus australis contig41030, whole genome shotgun sequence.
AGUAUUUAUAUGUCCGGAGAAAGUUCUAUAGUAAAUUCUGGAGAACUUCGGUAUUUAAAUGUCAACAUCGAUUUGUUUAUUUAUUGCUUAGCUUAUCGUAACUGACUCAAUAACAAAUCUAAUCAUGUUGUGCACA